GUUGAUUGAAUGCUCUUAACACGGAGAGAUGCCCUGUACAGACUUUUGGGGAACUGGGUACUGAUGAACCCGAACAGGAGUUGCUUCUGGUUUUAAUUCUGCUACUACUGGUGCAUGAUUUACAGCUAAACCAGAGAGGAGUCUGCAAUGCCGAGUGGAGGAAGGAGGAACCGGAGUGUGAGCAGUAGCUGGGUGGGCAGCAUGGCUGGGAUCACCACCAUCGAGGCAGUGAAGCGCAAGAUCCAGGUUCUGCAGCACCAGGCAGAUGAUGCAGAGGAGUGAGCUGAGCACCUCCAGUGAGAAGCUGAGGGAAAAAGGUGGGCCUGGGAACAGGCAGAGGCUGAAGUGGCCUCCGUGAACGGUAGGAUCCAGCUGGUUGAAGAGGAGCUGGACUGUGCUCAGGAGCGCCUGGCCACUGCCCUGCAAAAGCUGGAAGAAGCGGGAAAAGCUGCUGAUGAGAGUGAGAGAGAUACAAAGGUUAUUGAAAU
rnacentral:lncRNA from 1 species